UACGUAGGGUGCGAGCGUUGUCCGGAAUUAUUGGGCGUAAAGGGCUCGUAGGCGGUUUGUCGCGUCGGGAGUGAAAACACGGGGCUUAACCCCGUGCCUGCUUCCGAUACGGGCAGACUAGAGGUAUGCAGGGGAGAACGGAAUUCCUGGUGUAGCGGUGAAAUGCGCAGAUAUCAGGAAGAACACCCGUGGCGAAGGCGGCUCUCUGGUACGUGACUGACGCUGAGACGCGAAAGCGUGGGGAGCAAACAGG
rnacentral:rRNA from 1 species